CGGUUAAACGACGUUUGUGAAACUGGUCCUAAAAGUCCCAGUGAGAAAUGAUUCGUCGAAUCGACAUUGUUUCGAUAUCGAUCGACCAGUCAUUUCUUGCUGGCUUGUCAUCAGAAGGUUUAUCAGCCACUUUUAGAGGCGCUUUUAUCGAUAAAAGAGGGUUCAGAAUAUGCGAGCUUAGACUUCGAGAUGCAUUAGCCACUGGAGGGACAUUUUGGCUACGAGUCUCGUCAGCAAUCGUCACGCUCGAUCGGGCGUCACAAUUUUGCUUAUCACGAUUUUUGCGAGCGACACUCGUGAAUUGACGAGAUCGGGCUUUACGUUGAAGGCAAGCGGAAGCCCGAAGCUGACGGGCCACUUCUGUCGCGUGAGAACAUUCGUGGCGCUUCGUUCGGGAAGAAAUAUACGCCGCGAAGAAAGUAAACGAAGACUUUCUGCUAAGUAGAAACUCGCGAACGCUAACGGUCAAUAAUCGCACAGUGGCCAGUAAGUGUAAGUGGCGUACUUACACUGUCUACAUGUAGAACGCUGAAACUGUCAUCUCAUAAGUAGCGCGGCUAAAUUAACAUAAAGAGAGACAGAGACAUGGAUUAUAUUUCGUACACCUGGACCCGUAGUCUGAAAGUCAUUGUAAAGUUGUUUAGAGGACAUCUUCGUCCGUCGCGACGUCCUUUGGACACCUUUCAAACGUCUCUCGGGCACCCAUGCUGUCCGAGCGAUAGCUUAAUUACUACUGUAAAGUGAUAGUCUAGAUAUUCUAAGCCGCGAUUACUCUGUUUACGCGAAGACGUCCAAGACUGGUACGUAGCCGUUUAAGAGACACACGACACAGGUAUACCGCGCCGUAAGUUUGUGCAAAUUUGUACUCUUUUAUGAGGAAAGUGCGGCGACAUGUUCUCUCUUCGUUCCAUCCGUGCGAUUCGCAAUAAACGAGGUCGCUACCUUGGAAUAUUUUGCUGAAAGUAUUGAAAUCGACGAGCAGUGAGACGAAGGUUACCGAAUGAUUACCGAAGGUGUUGCGUAAAUGUGAAUCUCCCUUAUGAAAUUCAAUGCAAUAUGAAAUAUCAGGAAAGUUAAAGUACACAUUGAAAAGCAAUUUAAAAAAAAGUUGAAGUAUUAGACAUUACGAAACUCUUGCUGAACUUGACUAAGACAAAUUCUUAAAAUAAUCUCUCGCCGAAUUUUCACGGAGAUAACGAAACGGUCGAGAGGGGAUUUUCAGCAAAAUUCCAUUAUAUUUUUAGCAAAAUGUUUCCGUCUCUUUUCUUUUCCUUUGUUUCAAAGAACUUGUCGCGCCGCUUGCAAUGACGACUUGCAGUCGCACGCUAUUAGAUCGCUACGAUUUCACUUGUUUUCGCGAAAAGAGGGAACUGAUCAACGCUAAAAUAUCGCGGCAGCGGCAUCAACAUAUCGACUAAAUGAUAGAGAGCUCCUGCUGCGAUGACGCUAUUAUCAUUUUGUCACCGCGGCAGCGACGAGAUCUAUCGUGUAGAUAGCGAACGAGAGAGAGAGAGAGAGAGGGGGGGGGGGAGAGAAAGAAAGAGACGAUUAUGUUUGUAAGGGAUGCAAUGUACCUAGUUUUUAGGGACCUAGAUAAGGCAAAGCUUCCUAUUUUCUCGCCCACGAAAGACAUCCGCGUUUCGGCUGGGACGGCUGGGAAUGUUAUUACCUGAAAUUUGUUUCACUAUAUCUUUACAAUUGUUACACUAUUGUAAUACACGAAAUCACUCAUUGACGUGCCGUGUAAAGUGUAUCGAGCGGAGCGUUUUUGAGUCUGAUCUAAUUUUAUUGUGUACCGACCGCGCACUAGUAAUGCGGUGGGUCGAAAGAGAGGUAGAAGAAAAAGGGGGGUAGAGAGAGACGAAGAAAGUAAUUUAGAUUUCUUCGCAUACUUUUCAGGGAGUAUUUUAUCAAAUUGAUUCUUGCGCGCGCGCGCGCGCAACACACACACACAUUCACACUCACGAAGAAAAUCUAAUCCUACCCGGCCGGUGACGAUCGGAUUAGCGUAAUAGUGAUACUAAUAUUAACAAUAUUAACAAUAGUCGUAACAUGUAAUCAUUAAGCUAUAAUCGGUGUUAAGGUAUUACCGUUAAUAAUUUGAUACUCGUUAGCUCCGACCGCUCAUAUAAUCAUCCUUGUACUUUUCGACCGACUCGCUCACGGUAGUCAAAGGACUUGGUCAAGUUGGAGCCGCCCUCGUAAAACAAAGGGCGAGACAGGUAUUGUGUAAGUGCAAGCGCGAGACGGAGAACGAGCGGAGAAGAGAUCUCGCAAUGGGGCGUACAGUGUGCACGGGUGAAUUAAAAACCGGAAGAUAAUUUCUAUCUGAAAAUUCCAAAGGAAACGGCAAGGCGAACGUCGUUAACGGUAUCGACAGUUGUCGGUAACCGUGUACGGAAUAGAGCCCCGGCGCGGGCGAGAAUAACGUCCCACUUGUACGCUACGUCAAUUUCGAUGUCAAUGUUGUCCUCUUCGUAGCUCGUGUACAUAUAUACAUAUAUAUAUUUAGGCCGUAAGUGUAUAUAUUUUAUACUGAAAUUGGUAACGCAGGAGAGUAGGAUUAAUAAGGUCAUACUGACAGUUGAGAAACCAAAGGAUUCGCGCGCGAUUUCCGCGCGUUUGCGGGCGAGGGAGCGAAGGAGGGAAACGAGAAAGAGACGCGCGUUUCUUCGCGGAGCAAUUCUUUUCUCGACGUUAUCGAAGCAAUAUGAGACAAGGCGGAAUAUAAUCAGUCACAUUUAAUACAUGUAAUGCCAUUACUUUGAUUACUUUUCGUUUGCUCUUUCCCCUCCGAUGUCGCUUGAAUGGCAUCGCGAACGUGAAAACGUACGAGACGGAUAACCGGACGUCGUUACGUGCGAAAGAUGUCGCGUAGUUAAUGCAUAAUGCGGCUAGGCUUUUACUUUUUUUAGAGACUCUGGCGCACUUGAACCUUUCCGGAAAUCAUAUUCGAACAGAAAUCUCAAUAUGCCUGUGCUGUGCCAUGUUUAAAUUAUUUAUCUUUUUAUCACGUGAAACCAAGGGCGAAUUUUGUGGAUCUUUUAGGUACGUCAAAAAGUUAUACUUGUGUAGUAAAAUCGCGGCUAUUAAAGACAUUAAAUGUUACGUCGUUGAAAUGGAUUCUCGAUAGAAAAAGAAUUGACGAGUAAAUAUUUCUCUUGCGUUUAUCACGCAUUUACGAGACUUAUUUAUCUUUUUUAAACUCAUUUAACAUUAGAGCCGUUGGCUGUAUGAAUAUCUUUUAAAAAAAAGGGAGGAAAAAUUGGAUCGAUUCAAUCGUUUACCAUGCAUUGCAACAGAAAUUAUACAAAUUCUCCAAAAAUAUGUCGUCAUUUUGAAACAAAGAUUACACAAACUAGUAAUUUUAACUGCAUUGGUACUUCUGGUGUUUACCGUAUGCUCAUCCGCGUCCACUUUCUGAUACGUUGCCUGCUGUAUCCAUUUCCAUUUCGCAUGUCCUUCUCAUUCUUAUGGCGAAUAAUAUUUUUAAUUUUAAUUAACAGCGUUUUUUAUUUCCACUUAUUCGUGCAUGCACCUGCUCUUAAUUGUCGCCCAUGAGAAACACUUUUUUUUAUUGAACAGCGAGAAAUAAAAUUCUAUUACACUGUACAUUCGGUACCGAUUACCAAACGCUUCAUUUCCACAAACAAACGCACUCCUACGUAAUGAUUGUUAAUCACAUAGCGGGAUAUAUAUAUUUAUCUGUGAUAUUUUCCUUUGUAUUAGUGGAAAGAAAGAGUUCGACUUAUUUCAAUUUAAUUGAGAACGAAUUGGAACAGGACUUCUCGAUCUCACGACAGAUGAAUCUUUUGUAUUCUAAUGCUAUUGAGACUGUUCUAGAUUAGAACUGCAAUUGCACAGACUCGUUUGUAUUUGGAAGCGGUAGAACAGAUUUUUCUCUUUCUUUUUUUUUUAACUUUUCAUAUUAAUAAUUUCCGUAUUGUAUCACUUCGUUUAAUUCCUGCAGCAUUUUUAUAGCUUUCUCUUUUCAUAAAGUACAAAGUGUCAGAUGGAAAAAUAUUUAGUUGCCUGAAAAAAUUAAGAUAGACAUUAUUAAUCUAUUUUAAUGUUGUUAAAUUCGCGAUAAUCGGCGAAAAUAUUGGGAAACGUGAAAAAUCGAAACUUAUAGUCACCUCUCGUUCGAAACGUUUACAAAACGUGGUGCUUGAAACUUGAGUGGUCCAGGAAUGUAAAAUAGAUAAACGCUUCACGGCAUACAUAUCUACGUUUUGAUUUCAGUUUAGGGUUCCCUCUUCCACAAUUAUUUAGUGUAUUUCAUACGUUCAACUUUUUUAUCGCUUUAAUUGUAAUUAGCCUGCGGCUUGUAGAUCGUGUUCUGCAAUUACGCACGCUACUUCGCGUCCACGAUCGGAACGGCGUAUACAAGUCCAAGGAAGGAACACAUAGGUUUUUAUAGCUAUCGAUAUAACGAGGAUAAGUAAUAUUAGCUACUAAAUACGACUUAUAUCCCGUAAUUGUAAGGGAGAAUUUAGUUCAGCGGUAUCUUAAGGUAUAACAAAGAACGCGAGACGAAGACGCAGAGAACGUAGUUCGAAAAGGAUCGGCCGACAAUCCACGAUUAAUUUCGCACUUCCCUAAUCGAUCGAACCGACCACGACUUCUGCGUUUCGGUUCAAUCAGUGCGCGCGAAUGCGAAUCGUCGUUCUACGCUCAUCUACCUUGAGGGGUGAUAAUAGUCUUUUCACGAUAUGUAACAUAUAUUUAUACACAAUGUCACGCGCUCUUUUUGCGUACGGGCGUGAUAAAUAUCUAGCAGAUACGACUGUGUUAUUUGUACGAAUAAUCUCAUUCGAGGCACAGGAUGUCCAUCAUUCAUGAAUAAAUAGAUUUCUUUACAAUA